ACAGAUGUUGAUUUUCAAAUAUGUCAGAUAACCGUUAAAGUUAAUUUACGUACAUAAGUGGAAGACAUAAAAUGUAAAGGAACGAUGAAUAAAACUUCAGUCUUUUCGUAUUGUCGAAUUAUUUUAUGAAUCGAAGUUUCGAUAUUUUAAAUUUCGUUACGUAAGUUUGUAAUUCGUUGGAAUUAAGUUAGGUUAUUUUUUUAAAUGGAAGAAGCGGCGAUUGAUUCGCCAAAUUUACGUCUAAAUGGUAAUGAACAAAUUAAUGAAACAGACGACGAAAAUUCUUGUGCAAAUUACAAUGACUCAGAAAGUGAACGUGAAAUACUAUCUGGGGAGUGUACGCCGCAACAGGGAUCGGCGAGCAGACAAAUCAACAAUUCUAUCUUUAACACCAUAUCUAAAAUUGUUAAUCCCACAGCAAAGGUACCAGAAAUACAGGAUUUUAAGAUCGUGAAACCAAUUAGCCGUGGUGCAUUUGGCAAAGUUUUCCUUGGAUAUAAAAAGUCAAACUCUGAAAAAGUAUAUGCUAUUAAAGUAAUGAAGAAAAAUGAAAUGAUAAAUAAGAAUAUGGCUUCGCAAGUGAUCAUUGAAAGGAAUGCAUUAGCUUUAACACAUAGCCCAUAUUGUGUACAAUUAUUUUAUUCAUUGCAAUCCGUUAGUAGCAUUUAUUUAGUAAUGGAAUACAUGGUGGGUGGGGAUCUUAAAAGCUUGCUUGGUGUAUAUGGUUACAUGGAAGAGUCCAUGGCAGCUUUCUAUACUGCAGAAGUAUGUCUUGCUUUGGAAUAUCUUCAUUCCCAUGGAAUUGUACAUAGGGAUUUAAAACCAGAUAAUAUGCUCUUGUCGAAAGAAGGACAUGUCAAGCUGACAGAUUUUGGGCUUAGUAAAAUAUCUUUACAUAGAGAUCUGGAAAUAUCGGAUUUAGUUAAUUGCACACCUAGUCUUUGCGCUAGGACUCCUGGACAGCUUCUUUCAUUGACGUCGCAUUUAUCUUUCGGUUCUGGACAAAGAUCUACGAGUGAAUCUAAUCUUAGCGAUAGAAGUACACCUGGUGUUAAUUUACUUUCUGCUCUGCAACAAAAUUGUACCAAAACCCAAGUAUCACCGAUUUCAGUCGCUUCUUCCGUUGUCGCGUCAGGAGAUUAUUCCCUAGUGUCUGGUAUUACUCCUUUUCAAUCAGCAGAAGAUCUUCAGUUAAUGAAACAUCAGGAAAAUGUUAUCGUUGAGAAUAUCGACUAUGAUCAAGAAAGUAGCUCCGGGAGUUAUCAUACAUGCGAAGCGACUUCGGUUCGAGUGAAUAGUCAAGUGAAUCAAAAUUUAGAAGAUGAGGACGAAUCCACGCUAGAAGCUGAACAAUCUCAGCAACCUCUUUCUCAUAUUAGUCCAUUAAGUACAUGUACGUUUACUAGAGGCGCGAAACGAAAAAGAGCUGCAAGUGUAACAACAGGCCUAACAUGUGAAUUAAAUGCAAUAGAUCUAGAUCUCGACAAAACACCAAAACGAAAGAAUCGUGGUUGCAUAUUUUCUAGGAGUCCGAUCAAUUCUACUAUCUCCGAAUCGAUAAAACAAACUAACAAUAGUACUGAUAUUGCUAAAGUACAAGAAAGCGGAAGAGUUGCAUUCAGUACACCAGUGUCAUUUGUGAAACAGAGAUGUUACAGCGAAGAAAAUGAGGACAAAUGUGAGGAAAGAACAGCACGUUUAAUUAAGACAACACGAUUUCAACUUCCAAUGGCUCAUACGUCGCAGUCGGCUCCUGAGAUACCUGUAGGCGAUAACUUGGACAAACAUCGGUCGCCUCAAGGCAUAUCUCCCAUAAAGACACCGGCAUCUUCUGGUAAUAGUUACACACCUUACAGAACUCCCAAAUCGGUAAGAAGAGCCGGUGUUAAUCGGUCAGAUGAUCGCAUACUUGGAACUCCUGAUUAUCUCGCUCCAGAAUUACUUUUAAAACAAGGUCAUGGAUAUGCGGUGGACUGGUGGGCUUUAGGUGUAUGCCUGUUUGAGUUUUGCACCGGUGUUCCGCCGUUUAACGACGAAACACCGCAAGCUGUGUUUUCCAAUAUUCUCGCCAGAGACAUUCCUUGGCCAGAGGAAGAGGAAGCUUUGUCGACGGCUGCUGUAGAAGCCAUAGAUGCCCUUCUCACUUUGGAUCAAUAUGAACGUCCUUCUGCGCAAGAAGUGCGAGUUAUGAAACUUUUCCAGAAUUUUGCCUGGGACGAGCCGCUGAAAGCGACGCCCCCCUUUAUACCGCAACCCGAUGAUAAUUACGAUACAUGCUAUUUUCAAGCACGGAACAUCAUGCAACAUUUAAACGUGAGCAAUUGCGACACAUAAUACUUAAAGUAUAGCAUUGAUGGGGAAAUAAAUAUCUACGGCCUACUUUGUGACAGGAAUAAUAUAACGAGAAGAUUAUCGAAGCACAAAUACGAAGUACGGAAGAAGAUUAUCGAAGCACAAAUAUCAUACACAAAUACGAAGACCAGAUGAUUUU